AUAGAAUUUAUUUUCGUCAAUAAAUAUUUUUUUUAGCAUUACUAAAAAAUUGACUUUUUGUGUCUAUUUUUUUGUGACCGUUUGAUUAGCGGUGGCAAAAAAAUAAAAAAUAAUAAUGUAGAAAAAACAAAGCAAGUAAGUCGUAAAAGCUUCCCAUUUUCUUCUUUCAUUUAUUUGCGCCCUUUUCUUAGUUUUGCCCUAGUAGGCUCACUAAUGUCUCUCUCUCUCUCUCUCGUUCUUGCUCUCUGUCUCGCUCUUGCUCUCGCUCACAUGCCCAUUAGAACUCCACCCGUAUGAAUCUCUCCCUCAAUCUCUCAAUCUCUCUGUUUCUGUCUCGAUGUCUCAAUCUCUCUUCCUCUCUUGAUCUCUCAAUCUCUCUUUCGUAUGAUCUUGCUCGCUCUCUGUAUCUGUGUACAUCUCUCGCAGCGAUUUGCGCGAUUCAUCAGUAUCAGGUUGUAGGGAGAGCUCUUCCUAUGGAGACCGAUCAGCAUCCGAAGAUCUACCGCAUGAAGCUCUGGGCCACCAACGAGGUUCGGGCCAAGUCCAAGUUCUGGUAUUUUCUGAGGAAGCUUAAGAAGGUGAAGAAAAGCAAUGGUCAAAUGCUCGCUAUCAAUGAGGCAUAUGUCUAUCUAUCUCAUAGAUUAUCAGCGGGCAUCCAAAGGAAGAAUAGCUGGAAAGAAGACCGAGGAUGCUAACAGGUAUCUUACUGUUUCUUCAUGGAUUCAUAUUCCUAGUUUCUAUUUUGAUUCUUACUUCUACUAUUUCGAGUCUUUGGAAAUCUUUUUAUAAGAUAACUACAGUUAAAAUAAAUAAUUCAAAUUAUUUUAACAAAUAAACUAGUUUUGCUGCUAGACACAGCUCAUGGAGAGCCAAGUGUGGAUUCUGUUCACGUUUUUCUUAAGCAAGUGCGACAUGCCAAUGAUCGAGCACUAAUCUUAAAUUGCUUAUAUAACCAAGAUGAUAAGGUUCUUCCUUAGUCCAUUUUCUUCGGUUACGUGUCUAAUGAUGUGAAGGUAUGACUCACCUAAUGCUAAUCUUAAGUCAGCUCAAUAAGGCUCAAUACCAGAUACUUGGUGUUGAAUCUUGUACGACCAAUCCACCUAUCUAAUUUCCAAUUGAUCAUUAAUCAAUAGUGUUUUUCCUGUUUCCUUAAUCCACAUGCUUUCUCAGCUUCCCCUCACCCUUACAAGUCCCUUGACCUUAAUCAUAUCACUCCUCAAAAACCAGCAAAUACCCUUGAUUUAUCCUGACCAAACUGCUUUCAACUUCACCACUGCUUCUCCCAAUGAGAAGAGUCUAGUGACCUCCAAAAAAAUACAUUUAUAGUUCAUUUUACUGAACCGUCUUUUAUUUUACCCCUCGUUAAGCACUCUGUAAUAUUUUGAACUUCAGUUUAUGAAAAAAGUUUACUUUUUGGUCACUUGGCACUACGAAUUCUGGAGGCAUGCUAUGUUGUGGUUGUCCAAAAAUUUCUACUCAAUUUGAUACAUAAAUGUCAAUCACACAACAUUUCAAAGGACUCCUUGAAAGUGACAGUUCUUGGGAUUUCUUGGAAAUAGCUUUGCUUGUAUGCUUAUGUGCAGUUCAUAACCAUGGUUUUGAAAUGUUAUUUUCAUUCUUGGCAAUAGUGCAGCAUGCCCCUUGCCUUCCAUUUGGAUUUAGCAUCUUGAAAGCUGGUUUGAAUAAAUCAGUUCUAUUGUCAGUUUAUGCCUCAUCAACCAUCAGAGAUAGUCAUACCGAUGGUUCUUAUGGUAUGACUUUAUUCGAAGUUUCACGGACUAUUUUGGAAUGACUUUUUAUCUUUAUCUUUGUCUUUGACUUCAGUCGGCAAUUUUAUUUAAAGAUUUGGUAUCAUUUUCACCACAAAAUGUUUGUUCCAAUGAAGUUGAAAUAUUACUUGGUAUAUCAAAAACUGAAAAGGGUGGUUGUUAGACUUGAAGUUGAAAUAUUACUUGGUAUAUCAAAAACUGA